rnacentral:rRNA from 1 species
ACUAACUGGAGGACCGAACCGACUAAUGUUGAAAAAUUAGCGGAUGACUUGUGGAUGGGGGUGAAAGGCCAAUCAAACCGGGAGAUAGCUGGUUCUCCCCGAAAGCUAUUUAGGUAGCGCCUCGUGAACUCAUCUUCGGGGGUAGAGCACUGUUUCGACUAGGGGGUCAUCCCGACUUACCAACUCGAUGCAAACUGCGAAUACCGAAGAAUGUUAUCACGGGAGACACACGGCGGGUGCUAACGUCCGUCGUGAAGAGGGAAACAACCCAGACCGCCAGCUAAGGUCCCAAAGUCAUGGUUAAGUGGGAAACGAAGUGGGAAGGCUCAGACAGCCAGGAUGUUGGCUUAGAAGCAGCCAUCAUUUAAAGAAAGCGUAAUAGCUCACUGGUCGAGUCGGCCCGCGCGGAAGAUGUAACGGGGCUAAACCAUGCACCGAAGCUGCGGCAGCGA